GGGGGUGUAGCCCAGUGGGAGAGCACUUGCAUAGUAUGCAGAAUGCCCUGGGUUCAAUCCCUAGUACCAUCA
rnacentral:tRNA from 1 species